rnacentral:rRNA from 1 species
UAAGGAAUAUUGCGCAAUGGGCGACAGCCUGACGCAGCGACGCCGCGUGGGGGAUGAAGGUCUUCGGAUUGUAAACCCCUUUCGGCAGGGAAGAUGGAACGGGCAAUCGUUCGGACGGUACCUGCAGAAGCAGCCACGGCUAACUUCGUGCCAGCAGCCGCGGUAAUACGAAGGUGGCAAGCGUUGUUCGGAUUCACUGGGCGUACAGGGAGCGUAGGCGGUCGGGUAAGCCCUCCGUGAAAUCUCCGGGCCUAACCCGGAAAGUGCGGAGGGGACUGCUCGGCUAGAGGAUGGGAGAGGAGCGCGGAAUUCCCGGUGUAGCGGUGAAAUGCGUAGAGAUCGGGAGGAAGGCCGGUGGCGAAGGCGGCGCUCUGGAACAUUUCUGACGCUGAGGCUCGAAAGCGUGGGGAGCAAACA